rnacentral:rRNA from 1 species
AAUUUAAGGGCGUACGGUGGAUGCCUUGACUUUAAGAGGCGAUGAAGGACGUGGCGUUGCUGCGAUAAGCUUCGGGGAGACGCAAAGCAGUCUUUGAUCCGGAGAUUUCCGAAUGGGGAAACCCUGUAGAGUAAACCUCUACAACCUUGAGCUUUAUGUUCAAGGAGCAUACCCUGGGAAGUGAAACAUCUCAGUACCAGGAGGAGUAGAGAACAAUAGUUAUUUCCUAAGUAGCGGCGAGCGAAAAGGAAGAAGCCCAAACUCGAGUAGCAAUACUCGGGGGUUGUAAGGUAACAAUUUUUAUUUAUUUAAAGAAGAGUCAAAAAAUAAAUUAUUAGCUUAAGUUCUUGGAAAAGGGCACCAUAGAGGGUGAUAGUCCCGUCUGCGAAAAUAAUUUAUCUCUUUUAUUGUUAUUCUUGAGUACCCCAGGACAUGAAUGGCCGGGGGGAAUCCAGCGGAACUAACCGCUAAGGCUAAAUACUCUUAAAGAUCGAUAGUGAACUAGUACCGUGAGGGAAAGGUGAAAAGCAGCCCGAUUAGGGCGGUGAAAUAGACCUGAACCCGUAUGUCUACAAGGAGUCGAAGUUCGUCUUCGGAUGAACGACGGCGUGCCUAUUGAAGAAUGAGCCAACGAGUUUAUUCAUACUGCAAGGCUAAGUUGACUAAAACAAUGAAGCCAAAGGGAAACCAAGUGUUAAUAGCGCGAANNNNNNNNNNNNNNNNNNNNNNNNNNNNNNNNNNNNNNNGUGGUAAGGAGUGAAAAGCUAAUCGAACCUGGUAAUAGCUGGUUCUCUCCGAAAUAGCUUUAGGGCUAGCGUCAAGUGUUUUUUCUGGGGGUAGAGCACUGGAAGGUUCGGACAGGUUGAAAGAUCGCUGAACCUAUCAAACUCCGAAUACCAGAAACCAAAGCUUGGCAGUUAGGCCAUGGGGGCGAAGCUCCAUUGGCCAAAAGGGAAACAGCCCAGAUCUCAAAAUAAGGUCCCUAAAUUUAUACUAAGUGCAAGAUAAGAAGGUGAAAUUUCUCAGACAAUGAGGAGGUUGGCUUAGA